GACAAACCCGGGUUUGCAAAGAAGCAGAAACCCGCCAGCGAAGGGUUUUCCCCCAGUAUUUAGAGUAAGGAGAGUAUAGUUUGGGACUCGCUUUUCGUACUUCUUCGUGUCAGAUUCCCCACAGAAAAGUGUGGUUAGGUGUCCUUUGAAGGCAAGCGGCCGCCUGAGGAGCUGGAUUGUAGCCGCGGCUGCUUUAGGAAACCGCUCAGGGGCUAGCAUGUCAGCAAUUUAACACAGGUUACCUGCUCUCCAAGAGAUCAUUCACUUGGGAAAGCUUUGUCCAAUUCUUUGAAAAGGUCUGGAAAUGUCAGUUUUCCACCUCAGGUUGUUUCUGCACCAACAUGUAUUGGCUCUGGAUCCUCGGGAAUUCUUUGUCAGUAUCUUGGUCCCACCUCUCAGGUUGCCAGAAGACACACUUACUUCAUCAGCCUCUUCAGACCUCCAGGUUUGUUUUGCUGGGUGAAUAAGCUUGCC